rnacentral:rRNA from 1 species
UGAGUAACCUGCCCUUCACUCUGGGAUAACUCCGGGAAACCGGGCUAAUACUGGAUAUGACUCGAACAGGCAUCUGUUUCGGGUGGAAAGAUUUAUUGGUGGAGGAUGGACUCGCGGCCUAUCAGCUUGUUGGUGAGGUAAUGGCUCACCAAGGCGACGACGGGUAGCCGGCCUGAGAGGGCGAUCCGCCACACUGGGACUGAGACACGGCCCAGACUCCGUACGGGAGCA